CCCCCCUCCCAGCUUUCCUUGAAGACACCCCUCCUCGUGGCAUGAGGAAAGCUGCUGCUCCUGCUGGCACUGCUUGGGACACAGCAGCCUCACUCACAGCAGCUUCCUUUAAGCCUGCUCCCUACGCUCACGUUCAUGUUGGUGCUGAGCUGCUGCAGCAGCUGUUCUGCUGCACCGUAGCAGGAAGGUGGCCUGAUGGGUGCAGCCACGGAGCGUGCAGCCACGCUGUGACCCCAGCACCUGCUGGGUUUGGAAAGCACGCCGUGCCUCAGGAGCUGCAUGGAGCUGGCUUACACCCUGUGGCCGAAUAAGGGCUCGAGCCUGCAGCUGGCGUCAAGUGGGCUGUGGAAAUUCGGUGGAGUCCUGCCAGGCAAUGGCAGCUGAAGCGCUGGCACCAGGAGCUAUUUUUUAUACAUAAAACCAGCUAUUUUUGCACGACCUUUGGUUUCGUAGCAAAGCACGCGGGCUGCCUUUCCCCUCUGAAAGUACAGACGUGUGAUCUCUUUGCUGGACGCUCACAUCACGGAGGCGUUUGGUGCAGAUAAGCACGAGCAUCUGUCAGGGUGCCAUUUCUGCACUGUGCAGCAGCGUGGGAGCACUCCCUGUCCCCCUGCUCCCCGCCUGCUAAGAACAACUGAAACUAAUUACAUACCAGGAAUACCAGCGUCCCCGCAAAGCGGCUCUCCCUCCCUCGCUCCCUUUUUUUCCCUUCCGCCUGAUUCACCAGGGCUUUGGCUGCGCUCCAGGGCUGAGGAGGGUGGGGAGAGGCAGGAGGGCUCGGGAGGGCAGUGGCUGCCUCCUGCACUCAUUUCCACUUCACAGCUGCUGCCGAGCUCUGCCACGGGGAGACAGAUCCCAGAGGUGGGAGGGAGCGUGGCGGGGAGGGAGAGGAUGAAAGCAGCAAAGAGCUGCAUUUACGAGGCUGUUUUUCUUUCGGUGAAAAGAAGCAUUUAUCAGUGAUUUCAUAUAUCAUGUGAGAGGUGGCUUCCUGCCAGUUUUCGAAGGAUGCAAACAACCCGCUGACAUCAUAUGCUAAAUAUAGAGCAGCUCCCGCUUUAGGUGGAUAAAUAAUGCAGAUGCACGAGCCUGGGUCUUCGGUUACACACUCAUUAGGAUCGGCCUGUCAGGUUCGUACAAUCAAGAGAACACCACCAGUGCGGAGUGAGAGGUGAGGAAUGCAAAACAACUGCAGACAAUGGGUGAUUAAGCAGAUUUCCUUGUUCUCUGCUCCUUCUUACAGUUACAUUUCAUGCCUGCAACGCACCACGCUGCAGCUUUUCCAGCACGGCUCUCCCACGUCCCUCCCUUUUCCUUGAAGCCAAGCCCUAACGACAGCUAUGGGUGGGGAGAGGCUGAACAACGAGCGCAGCCAAAAUGUGGAAACUUCCCCGGGCGCUUAGCGGGGGAAAAAAAAACAGGAGAAAGAAAAAGGCAAAGAAAGGGCUCUGAUCAGACUAUGCAAGCAGCAAAACAGCAGCAGCUCGAUCAAAGGCGCUGCGCGGGAGGAAGAGUCCAGAGCCAUUCCCACCCAGGGAGAAGGGAGACCCGAGAGCAGGAAACGCAAAGACAAUGCGCCAUAAAGCUGCCGCAAGGUGUUGGAUCGAUGACAACAUCUGCAUGAAUCCUUCCCCUGGCAGCCAGGGAUACAAUAGAAGCUGUUCCUAUGGAAACCAGAGCAAAAGCAUCGGGCAGGAGGAAGAAGGCUGCAAUUAAAGGUGGAAAAGCGAGAGAGUAUUUUUAGAUUGCUUCGGAGGAACGCUACAGAAUGACAUCAUCCUAUCUUGUUAUUUGCACUGGGGCUAUGUAACAUACUGCGGCGUCUGCCCCUGGCCAUUAAAUGGAAAAACGUUAUUAUGUGUGUGAAUUAUAAAUACUGCGGUGAAACCCGAGCUCGGGAGUUAUUAGACAUCACUGUUCUGUAAUAAAGAAGAACAUUUAAUACACUGCACUGCACGGAUUCACUGUUCGAUGCAGGAGGCAUUGUGUCUCGGAUUUUAAUAUUCCCAGAAGGUAAUUAUGAGUCAUCCUUUUAUUGUCAUUAAGAAGCAAAGUGCAAAUAAUUUUACACAUGUGAUGUCCCUCACAUCAGUGAGCCUCUUGCACUGGAGAAACACGGCCUAAUUUUCCAGAAUGCUGUGUGCCAACGCGCUCCAAGUGGAUGUGGCAGUAGUUGUAACUGCUCAGCGCUGCCAAAAACUCACCCGUCCAUUUCGCAUGCGAACGUCUCAUUCGUUUCAGAAAUACAAAGUGCACGCUCCGCUGUCUGUAUUCGGCUCCUUGGGUAGGGCCAGACUCCACUAAGAGUUAAGGACCUGUGGCAUAAAGCCCUGAAUCGAGGGGAAAAAUUAUUCUGACACGUUUGUGAUGGCAUUACUGAACAGGGGGUCCUUCAGCAGAAGCAUAUCUGAAAUGAACCAGAUUCCCCAGCUAAGGCCCCACAAACACAUGUAUACGUGCGGCAACACCAAUAUAUGCCACUUCCCGACGUUAGCCCCGACAACGUGCAGGAUUGACCCUGAACAUGCACCCAGCAUGGCGGGCCGGUAUCUUGCAGAUAGUGCUCUCCUCUGACAGGAGAGCCUCCAGCUUCAGAGGUGAAGCAAGCAGGGACUCGCCCGCCUCGCAGCAGGACGUGGGAGCCCAGCGCCUGCCUCGCCUGAGAAGCGUAAAUCGCUGCUGGGGUCACACCGCUGCCAGUAACGUGAGAAGGGUAAACCCAGAGGAAUGUGCUUCUUGUGACUGCAGAGCUUCAAAAGUGCUCUCUGCACCGGAAUAAUGAUCAGCAAAUGCCACACUCAGCUAGAGAGUGUGCUGUCACUGGAGAUGGGCAGGGACUGAAAUUCCCCGUGCAGAUAUCCACUGACGCUGCCAAAAUAUCUGCGGGUGAGUGACAGGGCUUGCCCUAGCUUCUGCCCUGUGUGAAAUGAAGCACGUGGUGCUCAGCCAUUUGUUUUUGCACUCCGGAGGAACCUCUGUGUCAGCAGGGAGGCGGGUCGCCGCAGCCGCCCGAUGCCAAAGGAGCAGGCACAGGCCCAAGAGGCCUUGCACAGACCCACAGCAAGGCUUGGGCUGCCCUGAUGGCUUUUUGCAGUGCUCCUCGUUGGUGGGCUAAACGCACCCCUGGCAGCAUGUCCUCACCUCUCCCCUUCCCUGUCCCCGCAGCAAAAGGCACUGGUGCAGCCUGAUGGGGCAGUUGCCAGCUGGGGAAACAGCAGCACAUAGCGUAGAGAGGAUGGUGGAUGGAUGGGCAGGCAGAAACGGACAAGCAGAGACUGCUUAAAGCAAGGGCAAAAGGCAGCAAAGCCAAAAUCUUCCCCCCGUGCCAUCAUUAUAUGCUGCUAUUCUCCCAGUUUUAGCUCUCUCUUCCACACAGAUCUGGCUGUAGAAAUGUGUAAUGGUUGUGCAUGUGCUACUUCUAGUUCAUCUUUGGGCAGGAGUAGAAGAACAUCAACCACGACCAUGUAGCUCAGGCUGCAGGGUAUCCACAGAGCAGAAUUCAAAAAGCUGAGCAAGUUGACUUGAGCCCGAAAUAACAAAACAUGAAAACAUAUUUUGAUCUAAGCACAGCCUUUUAGCUCUCAGAUCCCUAAGUUAGACCUAAAUCUCCUGACUUAGAUAACUUAGUGCCUGAGAAAGCAGCCUUUUUAUGAUAGGACUGACUAAAUUGACUUAUUGUGCACAUUGGCUUCACUCAGCUUAACCUCAUCCCCGCUUUCUAGUUAAGCUAAUGCCCAGCAUGACACUGGAUAACUUUUCCAUUCUUCCUGGCUGCUCUUUUUUGCCACAUCUCUUUUCUUUUC
rnacentral:lncRNA from 1 species